rnacentral:rRNA from 1 species
UACGUAGGUGGCAAGCGUUGUCCGGAAUUACUGGGCGUAAAGCGUGUGUAGGCGGCUACGUAAGUCGGAUGUGAAAGCCCCAGGCUCAACCUGGGAAGUGCACUCGAUACUGCGUAGCUUGAGUAUCGGAGAGGUUGGUGGAAUUCUCGGUGUAGAGGUGAAAUUCGUAGAUAUCGAGAGGAACACCGGUGGCGAAGGCGGCCAACUGGACGAAUACUGACGCUGAGACACGAAAGCGUGGGGAGCAAACAGG